rnacentral:rRNA from 1 species
UACGUGGGGUGCGAGCGUUGUCCGGAAUUAUUGGGCGUAAAGAGCUCGUAGGCGGCUUGUCACGUCGGAUGUGAAAACCCGGGGCUCAACCCCGGGCCUGCAUUCGAUACGGGCAGGCUAGAGUUCGGCAGGGGAGACUGGAAUUCCUGGUGUAGCGGUGAAAUGCGCAGAUAUCAGGAGGAACACCGGUGGCGAAGGCAGGUCUCUGGGCCAUUACUGACACUGAGAAGCGAAAGCAUGGGGAGCGAACAGG